rnacentral:lncRNA from 1 species
GUGUUAACAGGGAGGAACAUGUUCCAGCAUGGACAUCACCAUUUAAAGCAUAUGCCACUCAACUGCUAGGAAUUCUUUCAUUGGCUGAUCACUCCUGAUGACCAGGUUGGCCAAGUUAUCACAAAUUGGGUCAUUAGGAGGUCAGUAGGCAGUAGAUCUGAUAAUAAAUUAUACUGAAAUUGACUCUUUCAGCAUGGAAAUGGGCACAAUGGCGCUGCCUAUACUGGAACAGAUGUUAAUGGUAAGGAUACAACGAAGAGGAGUCUUUUCACAUGUGAUAAAUGUACACAUUCCACUUGGUUACGAACGCAGCUUUAUGAACUUCAACAAACGUUGCUAUCGCAUGUUAGUUAAUAGGUGAAGCCGGGUAAGAUCCCAGCCCCGUUUAAGAUCAAAAUGAGACGAAGGGGCGGGGUUCUCUAGCCAACCGGUUUGGGAUGGUGCUACGGCGCGAAGUGUUUGCGUAGCACGAUUAUGUUUUUGUUGUGCAGGUCAGCUGGAUGUGACUUCGAAGUUUCAGUUUAACAAGGUAGUGGGAAAGCCCCCGGACCGUUUCAGUUUGGCUUCAAGUAGCUCUGCAAGAUCUGAUUCUGCUCAUCGAGUCAGCGGAGGAAAUGCGGACUUUUGUCACUUUUUCUACAGGAUAAAUGGCUGCAGUACACAUACGGUAGCAAGUUGGCUCGGAAGCACUGCAGAGCAGACCUCAAAGAGACAGCUGGUAUGCAGUUCGUUAAAGUGAAUUCCCUCUGUGAGUGUCUACAGCUCCUACUGCUAGCCACAAUGGUUGUAACUCUAGAUAGUUCUGGUGCUC